UGGGGAAUAUUGCACAAUGGGCGCAAGCCUGAUGCAGCCAUGCCGCGUGUAUGAAGAAGGCCUUCGGGUUGUAAAGUACUUUCAGCGGGGAGGAAGGGAGUAAAGUUAAUACCUUUGCUCAUUGACGUUACCCGCAGAAGAAGCACCGGCUAACUCCGUGCCAGCAGCCGCGGUAAUACGGAGGGUGCAAGCGUUAAUCGGAAUUACUGGGCGUAAAGCGCACGCAGGCGGUUUGUUAAGUCAGAUGUGAAAUCCCCGGGCUCAACCUGGGAACUGCAUCUGAUACUGGCAAGCUUGAGUCUCGUAGAGGGGGGUAGAAUUCCAGGUGUAGCGGUGAAAUGCGUAGAGAUCUGGAGGAAUACCGGUGGCGAAGGCGGCCCCCUGGACGAAGACUGACGCUCAGGUGCGAAAGCGUGGGUAGCAAACAGG
rnacentral:rRNA from 2 species